UGUAAAGAAAGUUUCCACUGUGACGUUAAUUAACAAGCCUUGUAUUUUCUCUGCGGAGGCGUCAGCAAUGGGGUCAGGGACGAAUACCUCUGCUCCACUGCAGUCAAGGGUCUGAAAAUAUUGACUGUUAAAAUCCUCUGCUCUUAAACUGGAUGGGCUGCUGGUGUUAGUUUAGUUGCUGGUGUUAGUUUAACUGGUGGUGGUGUUAGUUUAGCUGGUGGUGGUGUUAGUUUAGCUGGUGGUGGUGUUAGUUUAGCUGGUGGUGGUGUUAGUUUAGCUGGUGGUGGUGUUAGUUUAGCUGGUGGUGGUGUUAGUUUAGCUGGUGGUGGUGUUAGUUUAGCUGGUGGUGGUGUUAGUUUAGCUGGUGGUGGUGUUAGUUUAGCUGGUGGUGUUAGUUUAGCUGGUGGUGUUAGUUUAGCUGGUGGUGGUGUUAGUUUAGCUGGUGGUGGUGUUAGUUUAGCUGGUGGUGGUGUUAGUUUAGCUGGUGGUGGUGUUAGUUUAGCUGGUGGUGGUGUUAGUUUAGCUGGUGGUGGUGUUAGUUUAGCUGGUGGUGUCAGUUUAGUUGGUGGUGGUGUUAGUUUAACUGGUGGUGGUGUUAGUUUAGCUGGUGGUGGUGUUAGUUUAACUGGUGGUGGUGUUAGUUUAGCUGGUGGUGUUAGUUUAGCUGGUGGUGUUAGUUUAGCUGGUGGUGUUAGUUUAACUGGUGUUAGUUUAGCUGGUGGUGGUGUUAGUUUAGCUGGUGGUGGUGUUAGUUUAGCUGGUGGUGGUGUUAGUUUAGCUGGUGGUGUUAGUUUAGCUGGUGGUGGUGUUAGUUUAGCUGGUGGUGGUGUUAGUUUAGCUGGUGGUGGUGUUAGUUUAGCUGGUGGUGGUGUUAGUUUAGCUGGUGGUGUUAGUUUAGCUGGUGGUGUUAGUUUAGCUGCUGGUGGUGUUAGUUUAGCUGGUGGUGGUGUUUGUUUAGCUGGUGGCGGUGUUAGUUUAGCUGGUGGUGGUGUUAGUUUAGCUGGUGGUGUUAGUUUAGCUGGUGGUGGUGUUAGUUUAGCUGGUGGUUGUGUUAGUUUAGCUGGUGGUGUUAGUUUAGCUGGUGGUGGUGUUAGUUUAGCAGGUGGUUGUGUUAGUUUAGCUGGUGGUGGUGUUAGUUUAACUGGUGGUGUUAGUUUAGCUGGUGGUGGUGUUAGUUUAACUGGUGGUGGUGUUAGUUUAGCUGGUGGUGGUGUUAGUUUAGCUGGUGGUGGUGUUAGUUUAACUGGUGGUGGUGUUAGUUUAGCUGGUGGUGUUAGUUUAGCUGGUG
rnacentral:lncRNA from 1 species